UAUGAGGUUCGUUUGCAAAGAUACAUAGCUAUGAUUGAUAUGCGGGUACUUUUCGAUAAAACAAAAAGAAAACACAUGGUUCAUUAAACUGUUAUGCUCAUUUACACCAAAUUAUAAUAUUAGGACAUGUAUAAACAUGGUUGAGCUUGAUAAUUUAUUGUGUAUCUUACCAGACUAAUGCUUUAUUAUGAAAGAUUGAUGCCUCUUUGAAGCAAUCAUAUGCCUUUUAUGCUGCAUUUGAUGGAAUUCCAGGGCUACAGGCAUCUGGAGCAUAUAUAUUUUCCAUCCAAAUGGUAAAUAUUCUAUUGGCUCUCAGAAGCAGAUUCGUGACGAUAGAGUUGAGUGGGAUCUUGAAGUGAAUCAACUUAUUGCAUGAAACUGUUAUCCUUUUGUAGUGGAAAUAAUGGCUAUUAUUACAAAUUUCCUCACAAUAGACAUUUAGACUA
rnacentral:lncRNA from 1 species